ACAAAACUCAAAUUUGGCUAAGGCAAAUUCUUUCUGGCCAAAACACCACAGUUCAUUGUCAAAACCCAUUUUCCCCCAAAUUUUGACCAAGUCAAACCUAGGGCAAGAACAGAACUACCUCCAAAAACCCAAAUCCCCUCCACUAAAUUAAUCAGAGCCCACAAACCCUAAAUCUCCUUCACUAAAUCGCCCAAUUCUCUUCCACUAAAUCGUCGAAAUCUCUUCCAUCAAUUGUUUCUUCAGUUCCCAAUAGCAGCAAUAAACAGUGAAGUCAUCGCUUUGCCACAUCCGCCGCCGCAAACCAUCACCUUUUUUGAAGACUUUAUGGACAGGCUUUUUUGGUAAGAAUUUUGUUUGACAUGGAUCCACCGAUAGAAGACAUUUCAAAUGAAAAUGAAGGUGAAGGCAGCCCUAAAUGUGAAGAUGGAAAACUAGAGAGGAAAAAACAGAGGGGUCCAACAAAAAAAGGCAAGCCUAAAACAAAACUAACAAUAAAGUAUAACAAAAGAGGUAUUUCUAUUGGACCCUAGGCUAUGGAGUCAGCCACAUUUGAAGGGAUGGUAGCUCGAACUAUGGUUCCUAUUAUUUAGGAUGACUGGCGACAUGUGCCAAAAGACUUGAAAAGAAAAAUAUGGGAUUUUGUGUAUGAACACCCUAAGAGUUGAAAGAAAACACUUCAAGACAUUGGAGUAAAGUAGAGGUCGCUCAAAUAUAUCCUAAACAAGAAUUUCAUUAUUCCCUUUAUGGAUAAAAGUGGUAAAUUGGUGAGACCUCCACCACAGUACAACUUCAUUAGAAAGAGUCCCUAGGAAGAAUUUGUGGCUAAGCGAUCAUUGAAAAACUUUCAGACAUUGGGCACUAAGCUAAAGGAAAAACAAGCCAAGAACAAAUACAACCAUAGAUUGUCCUAGAAGGGAUACGCUAAUCUUAUUGAAGAAAUUAAACAAGAGAUCGGGUUGACUAAAGAGGAAAUUUAUAGAAGCUUGACAUGGAAAUUGGCUAGAAAUAGAAAAGGUGGAGGUUAUGACUCAGAAGUGGCUCACAUAGUGGAGAAGAUUGCAAAGUGACCUUGAGACUAGGGCAAAGACUAGCUCGUUGGAAACGGAUGGCAAAAAUCACAUCCUCAGUCAAGCAUUAGGCACCAAAGAACAUCUAGGGUUAGUACGAGGUAUGGAGAAGUUUAUCACCCAUGGGGUGUACUUUGAGAUUCCGAAAAAUGUUAGAGAUAUGAUGAUAAGGGAAAGAGAUGAAUUUAUUAAGAAGUGUAAUGCUUUGGAGGAGAUAUUUGAGAAAAUGUCCAAUCAAUUGAUUAAUAGGAGUCUAAUGUUUGACGCAGGAAGCAAUCAUUAGCCAUUGAAAGGCAAUGCUCUAUUGGCCAAAUCGGUCACAGUGGAUAAUACUUGUUACCUUGUCGUAGAUUCCCAAGCCAACAUUGUGGCAAAGGGGACAAUUAUAGAAUAUGAAGGUCCCAACGUAUGGGUGACCAUGGAUGUGGUGUUUGAUGGGAGCCCAUCUCUCCCAUUCCCAGAUGAUGAAGAAUUUUUGGUGAAGGUAAGCGAUGCGAUUGGCCAUCAUCUGCUUUGGCCAGAGGAACUUGUAUUAUGAGUAGCUAACAUGGUUUCUAAGAAACUUCGAAAGAAGAAGUAUACAACUCCCAAAAAAAGUGGCUAAGAAAUUAGAAUCUAUGUACAACAAGGUAGAUUCUGAUAUGGAGAAUGAGGACAUUGACCCGUUGGGUAAUGAAUUAGUGAUGAGUGCUUGGAAGUGCACUCAUACUUAGUGAUUUUAAAGGUGCUUAGGUGCUGAAAAUGAGGAUUUCAAGCAUGGACAUUGAAGAUAAAAGAAUCAUAAGCAUGUAGGAACAAAUGGUUCGAGAAUCGGAGCUCCAACGAAGAAGUUAUGGAUUUUUGAAGAUUAUUUGCUGCAGCGAAACUAUUCCCACGCCGUGCAAAAUGGACAAAAACUUCAUUCUGCGGCGCCACAAAAUUAUGCCAUGGCGCAAUGCGAGAAAUUUAUGUUCAGAAAUUUUUUUGCCAGAACAUGCUGCACGAAAAUGAUAAUAACUUGAGCAACACAACUCCGAUUGACCUGGUUCUGGUGGCAUUUUAAAUCUAAGAGACAGAGGUACAAUUAUGUUUUGAUUGUGGCCUAGUUCAACCUGGAAGAUGGUUAAAAAUAAAGACGAAAGUUACAUUAGUGCUUGGAGAUGUGCAGAUUUGUUAUUAUGCGUUUUUAAUUGAAGUAUAACUUUUUACCAUAAUACCCUCAUGACUUUAAUAUUAUAAAUAGAUGUCAUUAGCAAUAUUUUAGGGGGCUAGGGUUUAUAAUAUCAAAUAUAAUUAGAAAGAGGCAAGAAGAGGAGAUCUUACCUAGGGUUUCAUCUUCUUCUUAUUGUACUUUAUCGUUUUCAAGAUUUUAAGGUUUGAUUUCCUUAUGAUCAUGGGUAACUAAACUCUUAUUUAGGGAUCCAAUGUAGCCUAAUUGGAAGGCUCUAUGUUUAAACAUAUAUUUAUUGUUAUCAAUUCAAUGAAAAUCUGGAUUAAUUCAUGUAUUUAUUCUGCCUUUAAUUUUCAUUAUUGUGUGACGACACUUAGUGUGAAUUAGUAGGUUGUUUGUGUGGAGAUUAUUGAAUGAAUGAUUAGUAUUUUGUGCAUAUGCCCUGACAGAAUAUUAGUUGGUUAAUGAUUUCUUGAAUAAUUAGUGUCUAUGUAUACACCCUGACAGAUGCGCCUUUAUUCAUGAUUUUA